rnacentral:rRNA from 1 species
UACGGUAGGGUGCAAGCGUUAAUCGGAAUUACUGGGCGUAAAGCGUGCGCAGGCGGUUUUGUAAGUCUGUCGUGAAAUCCCCGGGCUCAACCUGGGAAUUGCGAUGGAGACUGCAAGGCUAGAAUCUGGCAGAGGGGGGUAGAAUUCCACGUGUAGCAGUGAAAUGCGUAGAGAUGUGGAGGAACACCGAUGGCGAAGGCAGCCCCCUGGACCUGUACUGACGCUCAUGCACGAAAGCGUGGGGAGCAAACAGGAUUAGAGUACC